AACGAACGCUGGCGGCAUGCCUAACACAUGCAAGUCGAGCGCCCGUAGCAAUACGGGAGCGGCGCACGGGUGAGUAGCGCGUGGGAACCUGCCCAGAGGUUCGGGACAACCGCGGGAAACUGCGGCUGAUACCGGAUGAUGCCUGAGGGCCAAAGAUUUAUCGCCUUUGGAGGGGCCCGCGUCGGAUUAGGUAGUUGGUGAGGUAACGGCUCACCAAGCCUGUGAUCCGAGCUGGUCUGAGAGGAUGAUCAGCCACACUGGGACUGAGACACGGCCCAGACUCCUACGGGAGGCAGCAGUGGGGAGUAUUGGACAAUGGGGGCGACCCUGAUCCAGCAAUGCCGCGUGGGUGAUGAAGGCCUUC
rnacentral:rRNA from 1 species